rnacentral:lncRNA from 1 species
AUCUCCUUCAACUUCUUCUUAUUCUUUCUCUUCUUAUCCUUCUUGCUAUCACAACAAUUGCUUCCCAGUCACUUCACAUCCCAACUUGGACCUUAACUUUUACACUCCAACGAGCACCCAGAUGUUUUCUAAUGGGUUCUCGGGUUAUGAGCAAACAGGUCCAAUUGGGCUGAACCACCUUACCCCUUCACAAAUCCUUCAAAUCCAAGCCAAAAUCCACCUCCAACAGCAGCAGCAGCAGCAGCAGCAGCAGCAAAUGGCAAAUCAUGCUCCCACAUCACAGUUAGUCCAUAACCAAAGGACUAGCAAUUUCUUGGCUCCAAAACCUGUCCCUAUGAAACAACAAUCUGCUUCUCCUCCUCCAAAGCCAACAAAGCUUUAUAGAGGAGUGAGGCAGAGACAUUGGGGAAAAUGGGUUGCUGAGAUUAGACUUCCAAAGAACAGAACAAGACUCUGGCUUGGCACUUUUGACACAGCUGAG